GACGAACGCUGGCGGCGUGCCUAAUACAUGAAAUUAGGACGCAGUUGCGAACGGGUGAGUAACGCGUAGGUAACUACCUAUUAGAGGGGGAUAACUCUUGGAAACGAUAGCUAAUACCGCAUACUAGUAGAUGGACCUGCGUUGUAUUAGCUAGUAGGUAGGGUACUGGCCUCCCUAGGCAACGAUACAUAGCCGACCGUAGAGGGGUAGCGGCCAGACUGGGAUGGAUACACGGCUCAGACUCCGACGGGAGGCAGAAGUAGGGAAUCUUCGGGAAUGGGUGGAACCCUGACCGUGCACCGCCGCGUGAGUGAAGAGGGUUUUCGGAUCGUAAAGCGCUGUUGUUAAGGAAGCGGUACUUAACCAGAAAGGGACGGCUAACUACGUGCCAGCAGCCGCGGUAAUAC
rnacentral:rRNA from 1 species